rnacentral:rRNA from 1 species
GAUGAACGCUGGCGGCGUGCCUAAUACAUGCAAGUCGAGCGAACGGACGAGAAGCUUGCUUCUCUGAUGUUAGCGGCGGACGGGUGAGUAACACGUGGAUACCCUACCUAUAAGACUGGGAUAACUUCGGGACACCGGAGCUAACACCGGAGAAUAUUUUGAACCGCAUGGUUCAAAAGUGAAAGACGGUCUUGCUGUCACUUAUAGAUGGAUCCGCGCUGCAUUAGCUAGUUGGUAAGGUAACGGCUUACCACGGCAACGAUGCAUAGCCGACCUGAGAGGGUGAUCGGCGACACUGGAACUGAGACACGGUCCAGACUCCUACGGGAGGCAGCAGUAGGGAAUCGUCCGCAAUGGGCGAAAGCCUGACGGAGCAACGCCGCGUGAGUGAUGAAGGUCUUCGGAUCGGAAAACUCUGUUAUUAGGGAAGAACAUAUGUGUAAGGAACUGUGCACAUCUUGACGGUACCUAAUCAGAAAGCCACGGCUAACUACGUG